rnacentral:tRNA from 1 species
GGACAGGUGGCUGAGCGGUUGAAAGCACUGGUCUUGAAAACCAGCAAGGGUUCAUGCCCUUCGUGGGUUCGAAUCCCACCCUGUCCGCCA